rnacentral:rRNA from 1 species
GACGAACGCUGGCGGCGUGCUUAACACAUGCAAGUCGAACGGAAAGGCCUCUUUCGGGGGGUACUCGAGUGGCGAACGGGUGAGUAACACGUGAGUAACCUGCCCUUGACUUUGGGAUAACUUCAGGAAACUGGGGCUAAUACCGGAUAGGAGCUCCUGCUGCAUGGUGGGGGUUGGAAAGUUUCGGCGGUUGGGGAUGGACUCGCGGCUUAUCAGCUUGAUGGUGGGGUAGUGGCUUACCAAGGCUUUGACGGGUAGCCGGCCUGAGAGGGUGACCGGCCACAGUGGGACUGAGAUACGGCCCAGACUCCUACGGGAGGCAGCAGGGGGGAAUAUUGCACAAUGGGUGGAAGCCUGAUGCAGCAACGCCGUGUGCGGGAGGACGGCCUUCGGGUUGUAAACCGCUUUCGCUCAUGACGAAGCUUUGUGUGACGGUAGUGGGUAAAGAAGCACCGGCUAACUACGUG